UAUAUACUCCCUCCGUUUCACAAUUCUUGUCUCAAAUUUGACUAAAAAUGGAUGUAUCUAUUUCUAAAAAGUGUUUAGAUAUAUGUAAUAUUUCAAUAAGAAUUAUGAAACGGAGGGAGUACAUU
rfam:Brachypodium distachyon strain Bd21 chromosome 3, whole genome shotgun sequence.